GACGAACGCUGGCGGCGUGCUUAACACAUGCAAGUCGAACGCUGAAACCAAAUGCUUGCAUUUGGUGGAUGAGUGGCGAACGGGUGAGUAACACGUGGGUGAUCUGCCCUACACUUUGGGAUAAGCCUGGGAAACUGGGUCUAAUACCGAAUUUUCACAUCAUCGUAGGGGUGGUGUGGGAAGCUUUAUGCGGUGUGGGAUGAGCCUGCGGCCUAUCAGCUUGUUGGUGGGGUAAUGGCCUACCAAGGCGUCGACGGGUAGCCGGCCUGAGAGGGUGUACGGCCACAUUGGGACUGAGACACGGCCCAGACUCCUACGGGAGGCAGCAGUGGGGAAUAUUGCACAAUGGGCGCAAGCCUGAUGCAGCGACGCCGCGUGGGGGAUGACGGCCUUCGGGUUGUAAACUCCUUUCGCUAGGGACGAAGCCUUUUAGGUGACGGUACCUGGAGAAGAAGCACCGGCUAACUACGUGCCAGCAGCCGCCGUAACAC
rnacentral:rRNA from 1 species